AGCAAAGAUAUACAAUUGGCAAAAAAAAGCACAGGAAAAGAUGCUCAACUGUUACUGGUCAUUAGGAAAAUGCAAAUCAAAACCACAAGGAGAUGCCAUCUCACAACUAUGAGGAUGGCUAUUAUCAAACAGUAAAUAGCAAGUGUUGGCAAGGUUGUGGAAAAAGUGGAACCCUUGUGUACUAUUGUUGGAAAUGUAAAACAGUACAGCAGCUAUGGAAAGCAGUAUGACAGUUCCCACAAAAACUAUAAGUAGAAUUAUUUUGUGAUCCAAUAAGCCCUCUCCUGGGCAUAUACCCAAAAGGAUUGAAAUCAGGGUCUUGAAGACCCUUGAACAGAGUCAUGGUCAUAGUAGCAUUUUUCACAAUAGUCAAAAGGUAAAAGCAACCUAAGUGCCCAUUAACAGACACAUUGAUUAACAAAAUGUUAUCUAAUAGCAGGAAUAUGCAAAUUGACUAUCACAUUGUAACAGUCAAGAUGGCUGCACCCAUAGUGGAGGAGUUCCCGGAACAAGCCUUAACGAGCAAUCAGCAGGGACCUGAGGCUGUGUGCCCACCCCCUGCCUGGCGGGGCUUGAUGGGGGGCCUCAGGCUAUGCCCUAUGGCCUGGGCCAGGGGACCUCAAGGCACACACCCUGGCCUGGGACAGGGGACCUCAGGCCACGCCCCCUGCCCUGGCGCCAGGCCAAGGGAUCUGAGGUCACACACCCCCACCUGGCGGCGCUUGACGGGGGUGGGGCUGGUUGGGUCUGGAUCUAGCCCAAUGGGGGUGGGUCUCACGUGAUUUUGAGGCACACGUGGGUGGGCAGAGACUUGACUCUGGUUCCAGUGGCGCACCCGACUCUGACAGGAGGAAGAUUUUCAUAUACAUUUUACUAAUUUUCUUUCAUCUCUGACACUUCUAUUAUAGAGAAAGGGCAAAUAGCAAUAUUAAAAUAUUUCCUCUAGCCCUAGCCAGUUUGGCUCAGUGGAUAGAGCGUCGGCCUGCAGACUGAAGGGUCCCAGGUUUGAUUCCAGUCAAGGGCAUGUACCUUGGUUGCGGGCACACCCCCAGUAAGGGGGUAUGUGGGAGACAGCUGAUCAAUGUUUUUCUUUCAUCGAUCUUUCUGACCCUCUAUCCCUCUCACUUCCUCUCUUUAAAAAGUCAAUAAAAUAUAUUUAAAAAUAUAUAUAUUUCCUCUAAUUCCCUUUUGUGCACGAAUUUUGUGUACUGGGUCACUAGUAUAUAAAUAACAUUGAAUAUUUUCAGACUUUAAAAGGAAGGAAAUUCUGAUACUCUAGGACAGUGAUGGCAAACCUAUGACACGCGUGUCAGAGAUGACACGCAAACUCAUUUUUUUGGUUGAUUUUUCUUUGUUAAAUGGCAUUUAAAUAUAUAAAAUAAAUAUCAAAAAUAUGUCUUUGUUUUACUAUGGUUGCAAAUAUCAAAAAAUUUCUAUAUGUGACACGGCACCAGAGUUAAGUUAGGCUUUUUCAAAAUGCUGACACGCCGAGCUCAAAAGGUUCGCCAUCACUGCACUAGGACAUGGGUGAACUUGGGGACAUUUCACUAAGUGAAAUAAGACAGUCACAAAAGGACAAACACAUGAUUUCAUUUAUGUGAGGUACCUAGUAUAGAAGAGUGGUUGCCAGGAGUUGCAGGUAUGGGGAGUUUACUGUUUAAUGGUGCAGAGUUUCAGUUUUGCAAGGUGAAAAGUGUUUUUGGAGGAAGAUGGUGGUGAUAGCUAUACAAUGUGAGUAUGCUUCAUACCAUUCUAUACUUAAAAAUGGUGCCCUGGCCAGCAUAGCUUACUGGUUAGAACAUUAGCCCAUACUCUGAAGGGUUGAGGGUUCAAUUCCCAGUCAAGGGGGUCAAGGACACAUAGUUGAGUUGCAGGUUAAAUCCUUGGCCCUGGUUGGGGUAGGUGCAGGAAGCAACCAAUCAAUAUGUCCCUCUUAUAUCCAUGUUUCUCUCUCUCUGUCUCUUUCCCCCUCCCUCCCUCCCCUCCACUCUCUCUGAAAAGCAAUGGGAAAAAUACCCUUGAGUGAGGAUUAACGAAAAGAAAAGAGAACGACAACAUAAUUUUUAAAAAAUGGUUCAAGAAAAAAAAAUGGUUCAGAUGAUAAAUUUUGUUGUAUUUUAUAAUUUUUUGUAAAAAUGAAUUAAUUUAUACAUAUCUCAAGAUUCCAAAACCUAUUUGGCUUAUUGAUUGAUAAUUUAUCCCCUGCUUAUUCUAAAAAUGGUGAGACAUUUUAAAGAAAGCAAAACAGUUCAGAAUUAAAGAUCAGCUGAGGAAAAGGCAGAUUACACUUAAACAUUAAAUUCUACCUCAAAGCUUCCUGGCACUGAUACAAGGGGACCAGGAAAUAUUUUUUCCUAUUACUAAAAUCUAAGUCUGGCCAGUGUUGCUCAGUGGUUGGGCAUCAACCCACGAACCAGGAGGUAAAAGUUCAAUUCUCGGUCAGGACACAUACCCAGAUUUGGGCUCGAUCUCCAGCAGGGGGUGUGCAGGAGGCAGCCAAUCAAUGAUUCUCUCUCAUCAUUGAUCUCUCUCUCUCUCUCUCUCUCUCUCUCUCUCUCUCUCUCUCUCUCUCUCUGUAAAAAAAUCAAUAAGCCCUAGCCUGUUUGGCUCAGUGAAUAGAUCAUCGCCCUGCAGACUGAAGGGUCCCAGGUUGUAUUCUGGUCAAGGGCACAUGCAGGGGUUGCGGGCUCAAUCUCCAGUAGGGGACAUGCAGGAGGCAGCCAAUCAGUGAUUCUCUCUCAUCAUUGAUGUUUUCAUCUCUCCCUUCUCUGAAAUCAAUAUAUUUUAAAAAAUCCAUAAAAACACAUUUAAAAGCCAUUUAUCACACAAUCUCUUAUGGAAAACAAUGCUUUCAUUAGUGAUUUUAUAUAAAAGUAGCUACUACCUAAUGUUUGCUGUGUGCCAGAUAUGAAGUUAAAUGCUUUACUUGCAUUAUUGCAUUUAAUCCCAUAACAAAGCUGUUCCUUGUUACAAAGAAAAGGGAAACAAGAUUUGGAGACAUUAAAUAACUUGCUUAUGAUAAACACUGCCAGUUGAGUUCCCAAUAACCAUGUCUGUCCACUGCCCUCUGCCUUGCCAAAAGAACCAUGGUUUUGUUUACUCCCUUCUGAAGUGCAGGAGGUAAAUCUUCAAAGUUUAAACCAAUUUUGGUCUUUGCAAUCCCCCUCACAUUUAGCAUUUAGUCUAGGCCUGAGGCUGGUGUGAAACUGACUGGAUGAAUUAUAAAAGGAGUCUUCUGGGUGGCUUCUUAGCCAUUAAAAAGGACACCUCUUUUUAAAGUGAUGAAAUGUUCUAAAAUUAGAUUGUGGUGAUGGUGGUACAAUUCUGUGAAGAUACUAAAUACCAUUGAAUUGUACACUUUCCAAGGGUGAAUUUUCUAAUAUGACAUAUAAUCAAUAAGCUGUUAUGUAAAAACAAAAACUAAAGUAAUGUAUGACUGGCAAGCCCUUGAGCAAUGAUUCUUAAAUCUGAUUGGACAUCAGAAUUCCCAUAAAGCUUAUUAAAAUAGAUGGCCAAGCCUUAUGACAAGCAAUUCUAAUUCAUUUGGCCUGGAAAGGUCUUGGCAUCUAUGUUUAACAAGCUCCAUAGGUUAUUCUGGUGCCCAGCCAACUGAGAGAACCACUAGCUUGCUUCAAUAAAUAUCCAUUGUCUCAGCUGCUUUUGGCAGAAACUAAAUUGCAAUUAAUUUUACAGUUUGUGCUGGCUCAGGAACCUAGAAUACAAAUAAUCUAUGUGCAGAAAACUGAACUUGCAUUCUAUUAUAGAAAUUUAAGUUGAAUGAAAUGUCACUCUACAUUCCAAUGAGAAGUGGGCUGCGAUGAUUUGUGGACAAGACCUGAUUAUUUUCAAAUGCAAGUUUUUAAGCCACUUGAAUGUCUGCCUGGACAAGUAUAGGCUAAAGUAUAAGUACUAUUCUCUGAAAUUUGUUUCAGUGAUUUAUAUACAAAUUACACUUCACCAAUUUUAAAAUGCAUAUUUUUUUCUGUAUUUUAUCAUCUCUAAAUUGGUGUAUGCUCUAUAAUCAUGCUCUAGUACAGUGGUUCUCAACCUUGGCUGCACAUUAGAAUCACCUGGGAAUCUUUUUAAAAUCCUGAUUUCUGGGCCUCAUCCUCCGGAAAUUCUGUUUCUUUGUUACUAAUGUUGUGGCCUCACCCCAUAACAAAGAAACAGAAUUUCCAGAGGAUGAGGCCCAGAAAUCAGGAUUUUAAAAAGAUUCCCAGGUGACUCUAAUGUGCAGCCAAGGUUGAGAACCACUGCUCUAGUAUCUCACAAUUAUGAUUGGCAGCAUUUGUGACUUCCAGUUGAAAAUGUCUUAGAGGCAAUGAAAUAGGGUGUGCUUAUACUGUAUUAUAAUAGAAAAUAUAUAUUCCUUACUGUGGAUCCUAGUAAAAAAUGUUCAAAAAAGACUAAUCUAUUUGAAUAGCACUACUCCCUGAUGGGAAAAUUUCAAUACAGUAGGAUUCUUUUACAUCAAUGUAUUCCUCAAAGUAAGAAUGUUUUAAAGCUUUAAAAACCAAGUCUUGUUUAUAUUUUCCUAUGCUGUAGCUUGUUAAGUAAUAUGAUUAAAGUAUAAUUGCAAGUAGCUAUUGAGCAUCAGUCUUCAGGAUAUCUGUCUGCAAUAUUUAGUGGGGGGUUUUUUCUCCUAAGAACGAGAGGUCCUCCACUAGAUAAAAGUUUCUCCAUCCCUUCUAAACGAUCUAGAAGUCUGUUUCUCUUUAUUUAACCUUCAGUUCAUGCUAAGUAUUUAUGGAAUUGCCAUGCUUACUGAGCCAUUAUAGCACUCACAGUACAAUGAAGUGAAUUAGUUGAGCAAAUAAUAAUAAAACCUUGAGAGUCUUUGCUUAGGAAGUUUUCAAUAUUCAGUAUUUUGGGAAGUGUCAAUGAAGUACUGAUGGGGUGGUCAUAAUAAUCUGGCCGGUCAUAAUAAUCUGGCCACUCAGUGUAUGUUGGUUGUUCUUUGAAUUCUCUUUCAGCGUUGGUCUACUCUACACCCUUUUAAAAUAUGGACAAUCCAAAUUUAAAAUAGCACGUUAAGAUACAGAAAAAACACACUGCCUAAAUUUCAAAGGAAACAUUUUUAGACUAUACCGUAUUUAUUACAAAACCAGACUUCGUGUGUGUGUGUGUACACACAUUUCAAACAAUGAAAGAAAACUUACUGAAUUUUCUGUAUUUCCAGUUUCACAAAGAACCACCUCAAGGGUGGGGCAGUUUAAUAAACACCAGUCAGGUAUCAGAGCGUUGAAAAACACUCAUGAGCAGUUCUAUAUAAUAUGAGAAACUGAGUUCUAAGAGAUGUAUUCCCUCUUUCAUAUAAAGAUUUGGCUAUGAGAAAAUGUUUACUAUAUCUAACUAUAACGUAAUAAAACCACCUUAUUUCUCAUAAGA